rnacentral:rRNA from 1 species
ACAUGCGACCAUACCCACUAGAGAACUCGGGAUCCCGUCCGCUCUCCCAUAGAUAAGCCAGUGAGGGGAGUGUUUUCAGUUGGGUCGCUGAUGACUACCGAACAUUGCGCCUUUCGUUUGUU